UACAGAGGGUGCGAGCGUUAAUCGGAAUUACUGGGCGUAAAGGGCGCGUAGGCGGUUAGUUAAGUUAGAUGUGAAAUCCCUGGGCUUAACCUAGGAAUUGCAUCUGAUACUGGCUAGCUGGAGUGCGGUAGAGGGUAGUGGAAUUUCCGGUGUAGCGGUGAAAUGCGUAGAUAUCGGAAGGAACACCAGUGGCGAAGGCGGCUACCUGGACUGACACUGACGCUGAGGCGCGAGAGCGUGGGGAGCAAACAGG
rnacentral:rRNA from 1 species